rnacentral:rRNA from 1 species
UACAGAGGUCCCAAGCGUUGUUCGGAUUCACUGGGCGUAAAGGGUGCGUAGGUGGUGAGGUAAGUUUGAUGUGAAAUCUCCGGGCUCAACCCGGAAAUGGCAUUGAAUACUAUCUUGCUAGAGGAGUGGAGGGGGAGCUGGAAGUACUUGGUGUAGCAGGUGAAAUGCGUAGAUAUCAAGGAGGAACACCAGGUGGCGAAGGCG